rnacentral:lncRNA from 1 species
GGCAAUCUGCAAUCUUAUGUCCUUUCUGUCCACAUCUAAAACACGAACCGGUAUUUCAUGGGCAAUUAGAAGUCUCAUGCUCUCUUCGGCCGCAUCUCGAACAUCUAGCUGCCACAUUCUCAUGAUUCUUAUCAGUUGCUGGCUUCUUUGCUGGAACCUUAUUGUUCUGAUUUCGUCCUUGAGUUUCACUAAACCUAUUUCUCUUUUUCUGAUUUCGUUCACGCUCCGCAUGAGCUUCAUUAGCUUCUCUCUCAAUUAUUAGAGCUUUGUUCACAACUGAGGCAUAGGUAGUUAGCUCAUAGGGUACAACCUGUUUUCUGAUUUUUAUAUUCAGUCCCAUUUCAAAUUUGUGUACUCUGUCUUGCUCAAUCUCAACUAUUCUCGGAACAAAUUUGGCUAACUCCGUGAAUUUGGCUUCAUAUUCUGCAACGGAUCUGUUACCCUGUCUUAGGUGAAUGAACUCCUGUUCUUUCUGUAUUCUGACACUUCGGGGGAAAUACUUGUCAAAGAAUUCAUCUCGAAAUCUCUCCCAAGUGAGUGGUAUCCCAUCGUGCUCAUAUUUUUAUUCCAGUAUACGCCACCAGUUGUAUGCCUCGCCUUGUAGCAGAUAUGCUGUAUAGCGGAUCUUCUCUUCAUCAUGGCAUUCUUGCACGGCGAAGGCCUUCUCCAUUUCCNN